GGCGCCAUCGUCUAACGGUUAGGACACAGCCUUUUCAAGGCUGGUAUCGGGGUUCGAUUCCCCGUGGCGCUG
rnacentral:tRNA from 1 species